rfam:Rhizophagus irregularis DAOM 181602 strain DAOM 197198 GLOINscaffold_8990_Cont8975, whole genome shotgun sequence.
AUCUUUGUGCAUGGGUAAUAACUGCGCUAGUGAGGAUUUUAUCUGAAGCCAGUUGUUUGCUGUUUGCAAACUUCCCAAUCGCAUCAUCUUUCGCAAUAGUCGGAAGAGAAUUUUUUGAAAAGGGGGAACCCU